rnacentral:rRNA from 1 species
GUCGAGCGAAGUCUUCGGACUUAGCGGCGGACGGGUGAGUAACGCGUGGGAACAUACCCUUUGGUACGGAAUAGCCUCGGGAAACUGAGAGUAAUACCGUAUACGCCCUUCGGGGGAAAGAUUUAUCGGAGAAGGAUCGGCCCGCGUUGGAUUAGGUAGUUGGUGGGGUAAUGGCCUACCAAGCCGACGAUCCAUAGCUGGUUUGAGAGGAUGAUCAGCCACACUGGGACUGAGACACGGCCCAGACUCC